AGAACGAACGCUGGCGGCAUGCCUAACACAUGCAAGUCGAACGAGACCUUCGGGUCUAGUGGCGCACGGGUGCGUAACGCGUGGGAAUCUGCCCUUGGGUACGGAAUAACUUCGGGAAACUGAAGCUAAUACCGUAUAAUGACUUCGGUCCAAAGAUUUAUCGCCCAGGGAUGAGCCCGCGUAGGAUUAGCUUGUUGGUGAGGUAAAGGCUCACCAAGGCGACGAUCCUUAGCUGGUCUGAGAGGAUGAUCAGCCACACUGGGACUGAGACACGGCCCAGACUCCUACGGGAGGCAGCAGUGGGGAAUAUUGGACAAUGGGCGCAAGCCUGAUCCAGCCAUGCCGCGUGAGUGAAGAAGGCCUUCGGGUUGUAAAGCUCUUUCGGCUGGGACGAAAGGUUCGUAUUAACACUACGGAUCCAUGACGGUACCAGCAGAAGAAGCACGGCUAACUACGUGCCAGCAGCCGC
rnacentral:rRNA from 1 species